rnacentral:lncRNA from 1 species
UUAUGAUGUCGAACGCCUUAGUCCUGCAAGUACGCCUUUGAUGUUUUUUUUAUCGUCUAACAAAGUUCGAGUAUGACUCUGUCGUACGAAGGGAUCAAACAGGGUCUCGAUAGUGGCCCUGGCGGAUGGUCGCCGCCUUUCUGUGACCUAGCAAUCCCCGUUUUUUCUCUUGAGAUUAUCCAGAAACAAAAAAACUAAUAUUCAAGCAGUGAUGGAGUCGAUCGAUUACGGCAUUUUUAACUCUUGUCAUUCAGAACGUUAUAUACUUUGCUCUUUUUCCAUCGACGGAGCUAGUGAGACCGUUCAGUCCAGAUUGUGUUCAUGGGUGUAAAAACUGAUAGACGCAGUUUGACUUGGGUGCUUAUUCCUCUUACUACUACAAUGGUAUUCACUUAAUUAGUGUGACACCUAUUUCGUCCGAUUUCGUAGUACAACAAGAUGUAUUCACCUUCUAACGAGGACGCAUUGAACAUUGUUAGUUCGAGCAUUGUGUUGUACGAGGGCUGCCUUCAACUGCAGGCAACAACAAAAAAAAAGGUCUGCCACACUCGUGAGGGACGUCUCCUCGAUCCUUCGUAUUCUCUGGCGGUUUGACACGCCGGGCAAAUCGGACUCGUUCGCCCUUCCUUCGUCCGCUCGUUGGAUGGCUCGGUAAACUGGCCCAUUCCAACAGUGUGCACCAAUUUUCGAAAGCCAGCACACGCUACUCCACUCUUCGCUCCCCGUGAAUGAUUCUCUCGUCUUGUUGGGGUCGACAGUUUCGCACUUUAUUCGUGGAUCUGGCCUUCGUCUUCGUUACCAUCCUCUCACUCGCCGACCCAGUACGGCCUUGAUAUGUCUGACGGAAUCACCAGUCUUGUCGCGUCCAUUCUCCAGAUGAGAGCAAGUGACGCAUGAAUUUAUGUAUGUGCGAGUGUUUUAGUAGACACAGGGACCAGCCUGUCAAUUUGAGGGUAACGAACAAACAUACAAAAUCAGAUUACAUUGCAAGGUAAAGAACGGUUCAAAUGCUUUAUCUUGUUUCAUGUAGAAUUUCCUUUCAGGCGCUACCCUGUUGGAAUCUGUUUCGGUUCAAGUACUAUAUCAUGGAUUGAUCAGACUAACAUUCUAUCUAUGGAUCUGCGAGCAAACAAAAACGUGGUGCUCAUUUCGUGAUCGAUUAAAUAUAGGCAAGUUAUAUGUGGCGUAAGAAACAUUGAUGGAUGCACAUAACAGCAUUAUACAUGGAAGGAAAAGUAGAAUCGAGGUUCAGGAUCGGUGACAAAUUUCGUGACUUGUAAAGGGUACAAAGGAUUCGUUGAGCUAUGUCUAUUCUCAUGCUCAUUCUUCUGAAACGAGUUGAGUUUGCUUACGUACUUAUACUUUCUGUUUCAGUAAUGGCUUGCACUAUUGUAAUUCUUUUCGCCGGGAUGGGAUUAAUUGAUGCUAAUUAAGAUGCGUCAGGUUUAUGUUGAAGAGAAACUAUAACUAUAAAAUAAAGGAAAUCAAGUUGAGGAGAAUACCCCAUUACCCAUUUCUCCAACCAAGCUACAUUGUGCUUUAGGGACCUACCAUUGAGUGUCUAUAUCUUGAAAUCAGAAUUUUUA